rnacentral:rRNA from 1 species
ACAACUUUCAGCAACGGAUCUCUUGGCUCUCCCAUCGAUGAAGAACGCAGCGAAAUGCGAUAAGUAAUGUGAAUUGCAGAAUUCAAUGAAUCAUCGAAUCUUUGAACGCACCUUGCGCCCUCUGGUAUUCCCGAGGGCAUGCCUGUUUGAGUGUCAUUA